ACGCUGGCGGCAGGCUUAACACAUGCAAGUCGAACGGUAGCAGGAGAAAGCUUGCUUUCUUGCUGACGAGUGGCGGACGGGUGAGUAAUGCUUGGGAAUCUGGCUUAUGGAGGGGGAUAACUACGGGAAACUGUAGCUAAUACCGCGUAGUGUCGAGAGACGAAAGUGCGGGACCGCAAGGCCGCAUGCCAUGAGAUGAGCCCAAGUGGGAUUAGGUAGUUGGUGGGGUAAAGGCCUACCAAGCCUGCGAUCUCUAGCUGGUCUGAGAGGAUGGCCAGCCACACUGGAACUGAGACACGGUCCAGACUCCUACGGGAGGCAGCAGUGGGGAAUAUUGCGCAAUGGGGGGAACCCUGACGCAGCCAUGCCGCGUGAAUGAAGAAGGCCUUCGGGUUGUAAAGUUCUUUCGGUAUUGAGGAAGGUGUGUAUGUUAAUAGCAUACAUUAUUGACGUUAAAUACAGAAGAAGCACCGGCUAACUCCGUGCCAGCAGCCGCGGUAAUACGGAGGGUGCGAGCGUUAAUCGGAAUAACUGGGCGUAAAGGGCACGCAGGCGGUUAUUUAAGUGAGGUGUGAAAGCCCCGGGCUUAACCUGGGAAUUGCACUUCAGACUGGGUAACUAGAGUACUUUAGGGAGGGGUAGAAUUCCACGUGUAGCGGUGAAAUGCGAAGAGAUGUGGAGGAAUACCGAAGGCGAAGGCAGCCCCUUGGGAAUGUACUGACGCUCAUGUGCGAAAGCGUGGGGAGCAAACAGGAUUAGAUACCCUGGUAGUCCACGCUGUAAACGCUGUCGAUUUGGGGAUUGGGCUUAAAGCUUGGUGCCCGUAGCUAACGUGAUAAAUCGACCGCCUGGGGAGUACGGCCGCAAGGUUAAAACUCAAAUGAAUUGACGGGGGCCCGCACAAGCG
rnacentral:rRNA from 1 species